ACCUAAGAAGAUGAAGGCCUUUACCUGUGUUUUGGUCAUUCUACUUGUUUUUUCCAUUGGAAAUGAAAAGCUAAUGAAAGUAACAGAGGCAGCCUCAAACCAUUGUACACGGAUACACCCAAAUGCGAAAUGUGAUACACAAAUUGAGUGCGAUGCUUAUUGCAAAAAACAUGAUGGAAGUCAAGCAAUUGGUGAUUGCGUUAGCGAAAAAUGUCAUUGUAUACACUCACUUCCAUGUCAGGAUUUGUAGUCCUAUGUUUGCAACAUGUUCCCUUACAAUACAUGUUUGAAUAAUGGACAAUGAAAAGCUUAAUAUAAAUAAAUGUUUCUAUGAA